rnacentral:rRNA from 1 species
CACGUAGGGUGCGAGCGUUGUCCGGAAUUAUUGGGCGUAAAGAGCUCGUAGGCGGUGUGUCGCGUCGGCCGUGAAAACCUGCAGCUUAACUGUGGGCUUGCGGUCGAUACGGGCAUCACUGGAGUUCGGCAGGGGAGACUGGAAUUCCUGGUGUAGCGGUGAAAUGCGCAGAUAUCGUUUGGAACGCCAAUGGUGAAAACAGGUUGCUGGGAGUGUGCUGACGCUGAGACACGAAAGCCAGGGGAGCAAACGGG